AGAGUCGCUGCCGAUGGAGUUCCAUCAGCUAGAGUCUUUAAUAAGAAAGAGGCAUCUGAGUAAAUAGAAGUGAGAUCUUUCUAGUUCUUGAACUAGCCUUCCCUAGCUUGAAAUCAAGUGGGGAACUCUUUCUCUUAUAUAGGCUGUUUUACCUUGAAAUCCCAUUCUAUCCAUCUUAUUCUUUUGUGUAAGUAAAGAAUAGCAGGGCAUUCUCUUUCAUCAAUUCCUCUCUCACUCACGAUGAAAGCUAAGAGCUUUCUCGAAGACAGCCUUUACUUUUUAGUAGUAAUCUUUCCUAUCCUUUAGGCGGGGAUAGGUUCAUAGGAGGACUUGGUUACAUAGGAAGGAAAGGAUUAAACUAGAAGAGAUAAGAAAGGAAAUUACACUAUAUAUUGGCAAUGGUACUCCAACAAGCUCGGCAGGGAGAGAAAAAAAAGAAGGAAAAGAGGAAGUACGAUGAAAAUGGUAUGAAAUAGGUUUUUUUGUAGAGAUUGCGAUUGCUUAUUUGGUUGGGAUUACCAGCCUGAAGAAAGAAUAAGAUAAAAAGAAGAGUUGCCGCCUACAGCUACAUGUCUAUUAAGAGCUAUACUUCGAGUCGAGAUAAUUACAUAGGCAGAGGGAAAAUUUUCUAAAAUGCAUAAUAGAAAUUAACCGCAUUGGAAACGAUAAAUCACACUCUGAAAGGAGGUUCCCUCCCAAUAGAUGUUAGGAGGGAGCAAGGUGUGAUUACCUUGUCAUACUCCGACCACCCUCUUUCCACCUCUAAGUAGUGGUGUUGGUGUGUCUAGUUGCAAUCAUUUUGGUCAAUCCAUUUGUUGAACCAUAGGUAAGGGGUGAUAGGAGAUGGCCCCUAUAGCAAAAUAAACCAGCCCCUCAUUUGAGAGAGUAAAUAGAAUAGUGUCAGACUUACGACAGUCUGACUUUUGAGUGACUAAGAAACUACUAAGCUCCCACCCAGCCCCAACCAAUUAGGGUAAAGUGUUCAUUUAUACCUUCAACAACACCGAGAUAUUGGCCCAUGACCAUGUUUACUUCAUCUUCAAGAGCAAGCAUCCUGGCUCUCAGGGCCUCAAGCAACCAUGGAUCCUUUCCUACUUCCUUAGUGAUUCUAAGAAGAUGAUUCAACCCCAUUAAGUUUUAUUUGGCUAUCACAGUCCAAUAAAUAUUUCUAAUUCUGUUUUGGAAUAUUGUUAUCUAGUAUUAGAAUGACCUAUGUUGUAAGGAAGGAGAGAAACUGAACCAGCUUUCUUUGGUCGCCUCUCCCAUCUGGUCGAGUAACUUUCGCUCUUUCUUACUUACUUUAUUAUAAUAUAAGCUUAAGCUAAUACGUGGCCUAUUGGGAGCAUUUUGGUCAUAGUGGGAGCUUUCAAAAAUCACUUAGCAGGUCAAGAUCAUAGGAAGAGGGAAGAACAAGGGAGAAGAUCUUAUUUAAAAGAAGACGAUUCCAAAAGAAAGUCAAAACGGGGAAUAGGAUGCCUUAAAGGUAAAUAACAAAGAUCCUAAAUAUAAAAAAAUACCUAUUAAACCGAUUACAAGAAUACCAGUUACAGUACCUAUUAUCCAAAGAAGAAUCCUUCCAGUAGUAUCGACCAUUGACCCCACUUCCCUCCAAAUUUUAUCAAGUGGUCAUGCUAGAGACAUAAACAGCCUUGGAUAAUUGAAUUAUAAGAUCCUUCCGAAUGAGCUAAGAGAAUCUUAUUUAUUCUCUUUCAUUUUGUUAAUUGAAGAAAUAAUUGGAAAACAAAAAAACAAGUUCAAAAAUAAGUAAUAACCCCCAGUAGAGACUGGUAUGAUGAAAUUUAACAUUUUGUUCAUUCGGGUUUGAUUGUGUCGUAGCUCUAUAAUUCAUAUGUUCUUUAUCGUUGGAUGAACUGCUGAUAUUGAUCCCCCAAAAAAGAUGGUAGGUACAGCUAGGCCGUGAACAACCAACCAUCGUACUGUAAAAAUUAGAUAGGUUCGAUCUAUAGUUAUUAGAGCCUCUUAAAAUGAUCUACUAAAUUCAUAGAGUUGUUCCAAAGGAUCAAAAUGGCCAGUUAUUAAUGGAAUUCCUUUUCGGGUAAGUUCUGACCCGUACAAAAGACGUAACAAUCUGGGCACUGUCUCGGAGAGAGGCUCGGUGAAAUAGACAUAUUUGUGAAGAUGUGGACUACCUGCACCCGGAAAGAAAGACCCUAUGAAGCUUCACUAUUCCUUGAGAUUGGCAUUGGGCCUUUCCUGUGCAACUUAGGUGGAAGGCAAAGAAAGCCUCCUUCCGGAGGGGCUCGAGCCAUCAGUGAUAUACCACUCUAGAAGGGUUAAAAUUCUAACUUUGUGUUAGGACCUACGGGCCAAGGAAAAGUCUCAGGUAGACAAUUUCUAUAGGGCGUAGGCCUUCCAAGAGGUAACAGAGGCAUGCAAAGGUUUCCUCGGGCUGGCUGGAGAUUGACCCUCGAGUACAAAGGCAGAAGGGACCUUUACUGCAAGACCCACCCAUCGAGCAGGGACUAAAGUUGGCCUUAGUGAUCCGACGAUGCCGAGUUAAAGGGCCAUCGCUCAAAGGAGAAAAGUUACUCUAGGGAUAACAGGCUGAUCUUCCCCAAGAGCUCACAUCGACGGGAAGGUUUGGCACCUCGAUGUCAGAUCUUCGCCACCUGGGGAUGUAGUAUGUUCCAAGGGUUAGGUUGUUCACCCAUUAAAGCGGUACGUUAGCUGGGUUCAAAACAUUGUGUGACAGUUCGGUCCAUAUCCGGUGUGGGCGUUAGAGCAUUGAGAGGACCUUUCCCUAGUACAAGAGGAUCGGGAAGGACGCACCUCUCGUGUACCAGUUAUCGUGCCCACGGUAAAUGCUGGGUAGCCAAGUGCAGAGCAGAUAACUGCUGAAAGCAUAUAAGUAGUAAGCCCACCCCAAGAUAAGUGCUCUCCUAUUUUGAUUUCCCCAGAGCUUUUGGUAGCACAGCCGAGACAGCGACGGGUUCUCUGCCCCUGCGGGGAUCGAGCAACAGAAGCUUUUUUGAGAAUUCAAGAGAAGGUCAUGGCGAGACGAUCCAUUCAUCAUUAUGAUAGGUGUCAAGUGGAAGUACAGUGAUAUUUGCACCUGAGGCAUCCUAAUAGACCGAUAGACUUGAGC
rnacentral:rRNA from 1 species